rnacentral:rRNA from 1 species
GACGAACGCUGGCGGCGUGCCUAAUACAUGCAAGUAGAACGCUGAAGGAGGAGCUUGCUUCUCUGGAUGAGUUGCGAACGGGUGAGUAACGCGUAGGUAACCUGCCUGGUAGCGGGGGAUAACUAUUGGAAACGAUAGCUAAUACCGCAUAAUAGUAGAUGUUGCAUGACAUUUGCUUAAAAGGUGCAAUUGCAUCACUACCAGAUGGACCUGCGUUGUAUUAGCUAGUUGGUGGGGUAACGGCUCACCAAGGCGACGAUACAUAGCCGACCUGAGAGGGUGAUCGGCCACACUGGGACUGAGACACGGUCCAGACUCCUACGGGAGGCAGCAGUAGGGAAUCUUCGGCAAUGGACGGAAGUCUGACCGAGCAACGCCGCGUGAGUGAAGAAGGUUUUCGGAUCGUAAAGCUCUGUUGUAAGAGAAGAACGAGUGUGAGAGUGGAAAGUUCACACUGCGACGGUAUCUUACCAGAAAGGGACGGCUAACUACGUG